AUGCACAAAAUCAACAGACAUCUUCAACACUAAAAGAGGAAACAAUCUAAACCUCCUUGUAUUGAAGCUCCCGGCUGUGACCUUUCUAGCCAAAACGACCCCUCAUCAUCUUUAACUUUACAAUACAUCCACCCUUCUCGAUUUCCGUUCACUCCUGCAACCCACCUCCUUAAGCUACGAGAAAAUGGCCUCACCAACACAUCCGCCAAUUGACUAACAGGUGCUGGAAUUGGAUUCAAGUUUGACUGACGUGAGGUUGAUUGAGUCGUUCAAGUUCGAGUUUUUGUUCGAGUUCUCCUCGCGCUGUAAUUUUCGAAGAUUAAAAUAUACCGGUAAGCGGUUCCAGGUCUAUGUCAUUUCUCCUUAUCGUACUGUUGGUCUGAUUAUAAGUAUGGUAAAGACUUUUGGUUUAAAAUGGGUUUAGGCUUGCUAAUUUCCUCAUUAUCUAUUUCUUUAGAAUAGUUCAACACUACUUUAGUUUUAAUCCAGAUCUGACUUUGGCUCCAAAUGCUUGAAUCCAUGUUUAAUAUACUUAAAUAUGUCAUGUUUCAAAAAUGUUGUUUCUGGUAGUAGCAUGAUGUUUAUGGUUCCGUAUUUGAUUAAUAUAAACUCAAUGUUUGAGAUAAUAUCCUGUAAUGUGUUUGGAAUUAAGAGUUUAAUUUUAGGAUAGUUUCCAAUACAUGUUCCUUUCGUUAUUUUGCUU
rnacentral:lncRNA from 1 species